AGCUCUAAUAGUAUAUAUUAGUGUUGUUGCAGUUAAAACGCUCGUAGUUGGAUUGUGGGGCAUGAUGGCUGAGUCUCACCGUUUUUUGGUGUUGUUUCUCUGGCCGUUUCGUGUUUCCCUUACACUUCCUGAAGACCUGGCAUUGUCCUCAUCGGCAGUGUCAUGGGAUUCUGGACUUUUACUUUGAAAAAAUUAGAGUGUUCAAAGCAGGCAUAUUUCGCUUGAAUAAAUUAGCAUGGAAUAAUAAAAUAGGAUGUCGAUUCUAUUUUGUUGGUUUCUGCAGAGUUGACAUAAUGAUUGAUUGGGACGGCCAGGGUCAUUUGUAUUUAAUUGUCAGAGGUGAAAUUCUUGGAUUUGUGAAAGACAAACUUCUGCGAAAGCAUUUGACAGGAAUGUUUUC
rnacentral:rRNA from 1 species